rfam:Helianthus annuus linkage group 2, whole genome shotgun sequence.
GGUUGCGAUCAUACCAGCACUAAUGCACCGGAUCCCAUCAGAACUCCGCAGUUAAGCGUGCUUGGGCGAGAGUAGUACUAGGAUGGGUGACCCCCUGGAAGUCCUCGUGUUGCAACCC